UCUAAAAACACUUCAGAUGAAGUCUUAAACAGAAAUAAAUAGGCGGAGAAAAAAGAUGUGAAAGUCAAAUAAAAAGCCCAAAACCAGUCUGGUUGGUGAGGAGAGAAAUCAAUACACCAGCACAUGUAGUCUCCAACAAUGAAAAUAUGGUAAAAUUGCUCCCUUUCCACUAGCCGGCUUGGCAUUGUCUAAGGGGCUCCGUGUCCUUAUCAGAGAGUGCAUAGAAGGAGUGGCGUAGAGCUGGAAAGAAGAAAAGGUCUCGAUUCUACAAGUGGAACAAGGGAAAAGGAACAUUAAUGGAAUGACUUGCAAGGGAAACUGUGAUAUUAUCAGGAAAUUUGGCUAAUUACUAAGCAAGUUUGUGUACUCUGAGAAGUCCUACCAAGAUUGUGAAAGUAUUUAUUUCAUAACGACAUGGCCAGAAUCCAAGGGCUGGGUUUAUAUUGAGUUUCCCCACCGUGAAGCAGAAGAG